AAUGGCACCCAAUGCCCUUUAUAGUGCACUACUAUAGGCUCUGGUCAAAAGUAGUGCACUAUAUAGGGAAUAGGGUGUCAUUU
rnacentral:pre_miRNA from 1 species